GAAGAAAGAGGGAGGCGUGCCUAAUACAUGCAAGUAGAACGCUGAAGGAGGAGCUUGCUUCUCUGGAUGAGUUGCGAACGGGUGAGUAACGCGUAGGUAACCUGCCUGGUAGCGGGGGAUAACUAUUGGAAACGAUAGCUAAUACCGCAUAACAGUAGAUAUCGCAUGAUAUCUACUUGAAAGGUGCAAUUGCAUCACUACCAGAUGGACCUGCGUUGUAUUAGCUAGUUGGUGAGGUAACGGCUCACCAAGGCGACGAUACAUAGCCGACCUGAGAGGGUGAUCGGCCACACUGGGACUGAGACACGGCCCAGACUCCUACGGGAGGCAGCAGUAGGGAAUCUUCGGCAAUGGACGGAAGUCUGACCGAGCAACGCCGCGUGAGUGAAGAAGGUUUUCGGAUCGUAAAGCUCUGUUGUAAGAGAAGAACGAGUGUGAGAGUGGAAAGUUCACACUGUGACGGUAUCUUACCAGAAAGGGACGGCUAACUACGUG
rnacentral:rRNA from 1 species